AUACACCCAUUUCUGAAUAAACCCUUCAGGUUAAAAGUGUUGAAUUCCUAAAAUGUUGAAUUCUCAUAAUGUUGGAUUCGCAAAAUGUU